rnacentral:rRNA from 1 species
CCCAGACUCCUACGGGAGGCAGCAGUGGGGAAUAUUGCACAAUGGGGGAAACCCUGAUGCAGCGACGCCGCGUGGAGGAAGAAGGUCUUCGGAUUGUAAACUCCUGUUGUUGAGGAAGAUAAUGACGGUACUCAACAAGGAAGUGACGGCUAACUACGUGCCAGCAGCCGCGGUAAAACGUAGGUCACAAGCGUUGUCCGGAAUUACUGGGUGUAAAGGGAGCGCAGGCGGGAAGACAAGUUGGAAGUGAAAUCCAUGGGCUCAACCCAUGAACUGCUUUCAAAACUGUUUUUCUUGAGUAGUGCAGAGGUAGGCGGAAUUCCCGGUGUAGCGGUGGAAUGCGUAGAUAUCGGGAGGAACACCAGUGGCGAAGGCGGCCUACUGGGCACCAACUGACGCUGAGGCUCGAAAGUGUGGGUAGCAAACAGGAUUAGAUACCCUGGUAGUCCACACUGUAAACGAUGAUUACUAGGUGUUGGAGGAUUGACCCCUUCAGUGCCGCAGUUAACACAAUAAGUAAUCCACCUGGGGAGUACGACCGCAAGGUUGAAACUCAAAGGAAUUGACGGGGGCCCGCACAAGCAGUGGAGUAUGUGGUUUAAUUCGACGCAACGCGAAGAACCUUACCAAGUCUUGACAUCCUGCGACGCACAUAGAAAUAUGUGUUUCCUUCGGGACGCAGAGACAGGUGGUGCAUGGUUGUCGUCAGCUCGUGUCGUGAGAUGUUGGGUUAAGUCCCGCAACGAGCGCAACCCUUAUGGUCAGUUACUACGCAAGAGGACUCUGGCCAGACUGCCGUUGACAAAACGGAGGAAGGUGGGGAUGACGUCAAAUCAUCAUGCCCUUUAUGACUUGGGCUACACACGUACUACAAUGGCGUUAAACAAAGAGAAGCAAGACCGCGAGGUGGAGCAAAACUCAGAAACAACGUCCCAGUUCGGACUGCAGGCUGCAACUCGCCUGCACGAAGUCGGAAUUGCUAGUAAUCGCAGAUCAG